rnacentral:lncRNA from 1 species
UGUUCACCCUGGACCUACUAUUUUUGCACUCACCUCCCUGGUUCUCAGAUUUCUGGCUCCGGUUCCCAGCUGCCAUAGCCCCUUUGGUCCCUUCACUUUGGUGACCCUUUAGGCUUCCCUUUUUAGACCACAGCUGUCACAUGUUUCUGACUCAACUUGCUUCUGCCAUGCCAGCGUCACCCCUGGUCUCAGGUGAUUUCUUAGGCUAAUUCUCAGAGAUGGGGUUAUUGGGCCAAAAAAGCAAACUAUGGCUUUCCGAAGCUCUCAUUGUUCCCAUUAUGUCAUGCAUCCCUGAGAUGCAGUCAGCAGAGGAUUCUAUUUGAGGGACUAAACACUCCCGGGGAAAGCAGGAAGAAGGAGACGGGAACUAACAUUUGCUAUUGAGCGCCAGGCAUCGUCCUACAGGCUUCGAAGUGAACCUUGGAUGUGCUGCUGAUCUGACCUGCCCAGAUUUGUCAUCAUUGUUAUUGUCUUGGCCUCUUAUGAAGACGUUCACCCAGCAGGACUUCAGAAGCUUUGUUCACUCGAUCUCAUUUAAUCCUCACAAUAGUGCCCUAAGGAAGAUAUUAGUAUCCCCAUUUUACAAAGGAGGAAACGGGAACCUGGGGAGAUUAAGCGAAGGCCUCACAGAUCAUGAAUAGAAGAGGCUGGAAACCUAGUCUGGUUCAAGGGUGUGCUCUUUCUGCUCUGCCAUGCUGUGCUUCAGCGGAAGCCAGGCACCCCGAAUGGAGAGACCAGCUGAAGCCGCGGCAGAAGAACAAAAAUUGUGAAGAUUUAAUGGACAUUUAUCAGUUCCCAAAAUUAAUAUUUUUAUAAUUUCUUACGCCUGUCUUUACUGCAAUCUCUGAACAUAAAUUGUGAAGAUUUCAUGGAUAUUUAUCACUUCCCCAAUCAAUACUCUUAUAAUUUCUUAUGUUUGUCUUUAAUCUCUUAAUCCCGUCAUCUUU